GAUGAACGCUGGCGGCGUGCCUAAUACAUGCAAGUCGAGCGAACAGACGAGGAGCUUGCUCCUCUGAUGUUAGCGGCGGACGGGUGAGUAACACGUGGAUAACCUACCUAUAAGACUGGGAUAACUUCGGGAAACCGGAGCUAAUACCGGAUAACAUGUUGAACCGCAUGGUUCAACAGUGAAAGACGGUCUUGCUGUCACUUAUAGAUGGAUCCGCGCCGCAUUAGCUAGUUGGUAAGGUAACGGCUUACCAAGGCAACGAUGCGUAGCCGACCUGAGAGGGUGAUCGGCCACACUGGAACUGAGACGCGGUCCAGACUCCUACGGGAGGCAGCAGUAGAGAAUCUUCCGCAAUGGGCGAAAGCCUGACGGAGCAACGCCGCGUGAGUGAAGAAGGUCUUCGGAUCGUAAAACUCUGUUAUUAGGGAAGAACAAAUGUGUAAGUAACUAUGCACGUCUUGACGGUACCUAAUCAGAAAGCCACGGCUAACUACGUG
rnacentral:rRNA from 1 species